rnacentral:rRNA from 1 species
UACGUAGGGUGCGAGCGUUAAUCGGAAUUACUGGGCAUAAAGCGCGCGCAGGCGGUGAUGUAAGACAGUCGUGAAAUCCCCGGGCUCAACCUGGGAAUUGCGAUUGUGACUGCAUCGCUGGAGUGCGGCAGAGGGGGAUGGAAUUCCGCGUGUAGCAGUGAAAUGCGUAGAUAUGCGGAGGAACACCGAUGGCGAAGGCAAUCCCCUGGGCCUGCACUGACGCUCAGGUGCGAAAGCGUGGGGAGCAAACAGG